rnacentral:rRNA from 1 species
GCUUACGGCCACACCGCCUGGUUCACGCCCGAUCUCGUUUGAUCUCGGAAGCUAAGAUAGGUUGGGCCUGGUUAGUACUUGGAUGGGAGAUCGCCUGGGAAUACCAGGUGCUGAAGGCC